rnacentral:lncRNA from 1 species
AAAAAGAGAGAGCAUGCCAAGAGUUGAGUGCACCUAGUGCACGGAUGCAUGUGAACGAUUGUCUUCUUUAUAGAUUUAUAGAAGACGGGAGGAGGGUAGAACAGAUUCAGAAAGAGGGCUCGGAUUGUAGCUAUUUUGUUGCAGAAGAGGAGUCAGAUGUAAUCUUCUCUUAUUUAAUGAAUCUUAUUUUACCCGCAUAUUUUCUGUUUCGGUUUUUCUCUCUUUUAUGAUUGUAUCAGCUUUUGCUGAGGAGACGGGUUUAUGGUAAAAACCCAAUUCGACGCUUCCGUUAUAGAAUUCCAACAAUCGAUACCGGAUCCACAGCAGUCGGUAUCGGAGAGGGUUGCGGAUUCACAAGGUCCGGCACCGGGGCGAGUACCGGAUUCCCAACAAUUGGUAUCAGAGCUUAAGGUUAUCGAUCUGCCGGAGAGAUCGAUGAAAAUGGCCACGAAAUUCGAAAUCGAGAAGUUCGACGGCAAAAACAAUUUCGGAUUGUGGGAGAUUAAAGUACGGACGAUCCUCGUACAGCAAGAAUUGGACUAGACGUUGAAUGGGAAGGAGGCGAAGCCGACAGAGAUCACAGAUGCGGCAUGGACGAAGAUGGAGCGGAAGGCGCUGAGUACGCUUGAUCUAUUAUUAGCAUAUGAUGUUCUUUACAACGUAGCCAGCGAGACGACACCGGCAAAGUUGUGGAAGAAACUGGAAGAUCUGUACAUGACCAAAUCCCUGACAAACAGGUUGUAUCUGAAGCAGCGACUAUUUAUACUGCAGAUGCAGGAAGCGGCAAGCCUACACGAGCAUCUUAACGAGUUCAACAAGGUGGUGGCCCAGUUGACCAGUAUCGGAGUCCAUCUGGAUGACGAAGAUAAGGCGCUGAUAUUACUAUCUUCGCUACCGGCGGCGUAUGAGCAUCUGAUGACCAUGUUGCUUUAUGGCAAGGAGACCAUAAGUGUGGAGGCGGUCACGGCGGUGCUUCUCUCGAACGAGAUGCGGAAGAUGACUCAGGAGUCCGGCACGCAAAGUCGGGAUGUAGGACUGGUAGUGAACGCGAAGAAGGAGGCGAGAAUAUUGGCGACCGGAUAUCAACAAAAGAAACAGCUAUCUGAGGUAGAGUGCUUUUACUGUCACAGGAAAGGGUAUAUCAAGCGCAAUUGUCGAAAACUUCAGGAUGAUCUGAAAGAGUUAAAGCGACAGAAGGAGCAAACUGUCGUGAACCAGGAUGAGACGGUAUCGGCGAUGGCGCAGGCGGCAGUGUCGGAGAUGAUCGAUUCUGAUGUGCUGUAUGCAGCGACCGGAGGUCCUAAAAUUUCGGAUGAUGCGUGGGUGCUCUAUUCGGCGUGUUCCUUUCACGUAUGCCCGGAGAAGGAGUCUUUUGCCACCUAUAAGGCGAUCAAAGGUGGAAAGGCUCUGAUGGGAAACGGGACGGCGUACAAAGUUUUGGGAGUCGACACGGUGAAGAUCCGAAUGUACGAUGGGGUCGUGAGGACGCUUACAGGUGUGCGGCACGUUCCUGGAUUAAAGCGAAAUUUGAUCUCGUUAGGCGCGUUGGACUCGAAGGGUUGCAAUAUUUCGGCUUCAGGUGGAGCUAUGAGGGUCCGAAAGCGAGAUUGGGUCGUGUGCGAGGCGAACAAGCGUGGGAACUUGUACAUUCUGAAUGGGAGCACAGUCAGAAUGUUAGCGAAGACAGUUUGGAUUCCAAAAGUUCGCGGAGGUGCAGUCGCUAGAGGCGAAGCGACGGAUGCGGCGACAUCGAGCGGAGGAGACAAGCUCAAGGUGGAGCUUGCAUGGUGAACUCGACGCGGCGGUUGAAGGCUACAAAUCCAACCUAGGUGGAGAAUAUUAGGAUUUGGUUAGAUUUGUAGUUGAAUUCUAUUUGGAUAAGAAUUAAUAUUUAAAUCUGUUGGAGAUAAAUUAAGAUUUAAAUAUUAAUUAGAGGAUAAACCAAACUAGAUUGGGAUUAAUAUUUAAAUCUAUUAGGAAUUAAUUAAAAUAAAUUUAGAUAUUAAUUAGAGUAGAAAUCUUAAAUAUAUCAGGAUUGUGGUACGUUUUGGUGGAGCUUAUAAAUAGCUCUUGAUGGUGCUCUUUUUUUUGGGAGAAGUACGGCCAAGAGAGAGAGCCUCUUGGGGUGUGCCGUAUCAGAGAGAGAAAAAGAGAGAGCGUGCCAAGAGUUGAGUGCACCUAGUGCACGGGUGCAUAUGAACGAUUGUCUUCGUUAUGGAUUUAUAGAAGACGAGAGGAGGGUAGAACAGAUUUAGAAAGAGGAUUCAUAUUGUAGCUACUCUGUUGCAGAAGAGGAGUCAAGUGUAAUCUUCUCUUAUUUAAUGAAUCUUAUUUUACCCGCAUAUUUUCUGUUUUGAUUUUUCUCUCUUUUAUGAUUGUAUCAGUUUUUGCUGAGGAUACGGGUUUAUGGUAAAAACUCGAUUCGACGCUUCCGUUGCGGAAUCCCAACAAUCGGUACCGGAUCCACAGCAGUCGGUAUCGAAGAGGGUUGCGGAUUCACAAAAUCCGGCACCGGGGCGAGUACCGGAUUCCCAACAGAUAUCUAAGGUCCCGAGUUCGAAUUCUAGUUGAUUCAUAUUUUCAGUUAAGUUUAUUUCUAAACGAAAUGAACGAAGAAUAUUAGUUCACUUUUGAAGGCUCGUAUUUAAA